rnacentral:lncRNA from 1 species
CUUCCUCGCUCUGCUUCUCCACCCGCCGUGGGAGCCGUUUUCCUCAGCCCAGCUCUGUUGAUGCUCAUUCUGGGCCCGGUCCCAAAGUAAGCUGCUCACAACGGUGGACUAGACCGGUACUCGUCAAUGCCAUACUUGGACCCCUCGCGCCCAAGGCCGGACUGUUUCACCCCACCAAAAGGACAUUCCACUGAAGAGAUGAGUCCUUCAUUCACACCGACCAUGCCGACCUCCAGCUGCUCCGCCACUCUCCAGAUCUGGGCUGGGUCUUGAGAGUAAAAGUAACCUAGCAGGGGAACAAAGGGAUGCAGACAGCUUGAGGAAUUCUGAAAGUCACACGCGCCAGCCUCUGAGGGUGCCUGCCUGGUCACAGAGGCCCCGGGGUUCUCCUGCUUGCAGGUAAAGAAAGGCCCAGGUGGGUUUUGUCCACAUUUUCAUCCUAACAUCACGUUAAGCGUCUGUUUCUCUCUUGUUGGGGUCCUCCCCAGUCCCACUGGGCCUUUGUAAGCAUGCGCGUCUGUGCUCGCCACCUGCUCAUCAGCCCCUCCUCCUUCAGAGGGUAAGAUGCUUCUUUAAGCCUUGCCGUCGAUCCUAGUUGUCUAUAAAACAAGCCCACAUUGCCCAGUCCUGUCCCAGAGUGUGACUGGGUCCGCCUUUUCAGCUUACUCCUGACUGUAAUUCAGAAUUUAAGAGUAAUGCUCAAAAGGCGGAGGCUGGCUUUUACUUGCGUCAUGACGGUGGCUGCCAGUCAGAAAACCUACCUGCCAAUCCAACCUCAGCUGCAUUUGCGAUGGCGACGGCCUCCUCCUCCUUAUCAAACCUGUCGGAGUUAAAGCAGGUCAUGAGCAAAAUCUGUGAGCUGAGGAAUAGAGAAAACCAGCUUUAUGUUCUCCCGAUUCACUUCCUAAAUACUGACAAGGAGAAGGUCAGAGUUGCAAAGAGAUCGAAGGGGAGGAGAAAUGAGUGGAGUAGAAGUGCAGACAUGGUAACUCAGCCUUCUCCAAGACCUGGUAAAGCAACCUGGCCCACCUUCUCUGAGAGAGGGAAAAGCGGACCAACCGAGGAGAGACAUCGUCAAACAAAAUCCUUUAAGGAAAGGACUGCUAGGUGCAGUGCUGGCUCAUUAGUUAACAGCACUUGUUGCUCUUGCAGAGGACCUGGGUUUGACUCCCAGCACCCACAUGGUGGCUCACAACUCUUAACUCCAGUCCCAGCAGAUCUGACAUCUUCUUCUGAGCCCUUCCAGGUCCUGGAUCUAAGUAGAAAACGGAAUAUUUUCCGACCACUGAUCUGCGAAUUAUCCAGGCAAAUGAUUAUUUAUUAAGGUGGGAUAAAAGAUUAUACAAGGUUAUAGUUCAUUUCCUAUAGACUGAGAGGAUAGAAGCCUUGAGGGUAUUAGAAAAAUACUCUUAGAAAUCAGUGGGGGAAAGUAACUUUAGAGGCAUUAAGAAAUCUAAAUGAGGGGUUUUGAUGAACUUUGUGCUUGAAAUUGGGUAUGGUGUAUGCCUAUAGGGGAGGCUAAACAAGAAAGUUGAGAGUUUAAGGCCAGCCUGGGUUAUAGACGAGGCCUUGUUUGAAACAGACAAACACCCCAAACUAAAACCAACAAUAACCACCUUCCACACCACUCAACACAGACAAAAAACAAACACCAAAAACUGGGGCUAGGACUAGGGAGACCUGGCUCUGUUGGUAAAUGCUGAGUUUGAUUCCCCAGAACCCGUAUGAAAACUCAGUUGUGGUGGCCUGUGCUUGGGAUCCCAGGUCUACCUGGAGAGUCCUGGGUUGCAGUGAGAGACCCUGUCUCCAAGUUUAAGGUGGACAGCUCCCAAGAAGUAACACCCAGGGCUGACCUGUAUGUGCACCUGAAUACACAAACUCCAAAAUCAAACCCCAACUAUCAUAAAGCCGACUCUGCUACUUGACUCUGACUGUUCAACUCUGUUUGACUCUGCUAUGCAGCUGACUACAUCUGCUCAGCCUUCCUAUUCUCUCUCUCUCUCAGACUAGCUUUUCCUUCCCUAGCGUCUCCUUCCUUCCACUACUGGAGGAACGUACUUGAUGACUGGUGCCAGAGGUCCAAAGGUCUCCUCAGUGAUGCAGAGCAUGUCCCUGGUGACAUUGCUGAGCAGGGUGGGCUCAAAGAAAUUUCCUCCACUUUGGUGUCGCUUUCCGCCCAUCACAACCGUGGCCCCUUUGGCAACUGCGUCAUUCACCUGCUUCUCUACCUGAGAGAUGAGAGAAGGACACCAGGGAAAGCUGGAUAGGGACAUUUUCCAAAUUGUACAAUCCCUUAAAAUGUUAAACAGCAAAAAACCAGUCAAGACUCGAUUCCUGGGAAUCACAUGGUGGAAGGAGAGAACGGACUCUGGAUAGCCCAUCGCUUUUCUGAGCUUUGCAUUUGCGGAUGCUGGGCUGGUUGUACUCUUAGACCACUUGUCUACUUCUGUCUGGGUUGAGGAGAUGUUUGGAUACAUCUCAAAUAUAAUGGCAUUGCUUACCCAUGACAGAUAUUCGGUCUCAGAAAUGUGUUCUUAGCUGAUUUCACUAUUGAAUAAACAUCAUACAGUAUUUUGAUACAAACCC